AAAAAAUAAGCACUGAUCACUGACAUCCAGCAUAAAAUUCUUCUUUCUUUUAUUCAAUUUAGAGAUUUUUUGUGUUCCCAACACAUUGUGCUAGGAGCUAAUUCAUAAACUUCUCGGAAAAUAAAUUAUACAUGGGAAGAAGUUGGAUGAUAAGUUAGUUGAAUCUAUUAAAGUCUUCAAUGAACAUCCAAAGGAAGUUAGACCAAAAUGCUCAUAUAUGAUCCAAAAGGCUUGAUCAAGAUGUUCUGUGCUAGUUGAAAGUUGAAACUGCAGUACCUUUUCUUAACAAUUGAAUUCUAAUUUCAGAGCUUUCAGCCAGCAUGCUACUCAUAGAUACAGGUGUUGUAUCAACUCAGAUCUUACAAAACAACGGUUCAGGAAAUAUCAAAAUUGUUUUCGCUUGUUGGAAAAGAACUUGUCUCUCUUUGCCCAAACAUACAGAAGGAAAAUAAAAACUCCAGCAGACAUAGAAACUGACGCCCAGGGAAAUGGUGGGUCCUUGAAACAGACUAGUGAUGCUUCCAGCUCUUGAGAAGCAUGAUAAACAAGAGAAUGAAUGGCAUAUAUGUCAUGAUCUGAUGCCCUCAGGUAGUACAAAGCCAUUUCAAAGUCAAAGUGUGAGAGUGCUGAAACUGCUUUGUCUAGCUUGUACUUGAACAAGUUCCACCUUUGCAUGAACUCAGUAAGCUGAUUAUGCUUAAGAAGCUUCCUCUCCCCACCAUGUGCAGAAAUGGAUUCAAGAACUUCAAGAGCACUAGAAAUACUGAAGUUCAGCGAUGUCAACAAUACAUUUCUCCUAGCAGCAUCCUUCUGCACAAAUGACAAUGAAGAAACCUCCGAAAACGGGCCAAAUGGUGUUUGCCCGACACUCCACGUAUAGUCUACUAGAGUACUGUUGUGUCUUGGGCUCCAGACUAAAUGUGUUGGUGAGACCCCCCACAUGCUCUGUAAGAUGGAACCUAAAAUGGGCCUCUCUAAUUCACGAGUCUGGGUAAACACAUGACGCCCAUUACAGCUAUAAUCACUCACAGUCUGUGUACUCUUUGUCCUGACUGCUAUAACCAUAUCCUUAAAGGCCACAGACUGAUGAUAACGAUCAAGCAUCAGAAUUGAACUGACAUCCAAAUCAAAAACAUAAACUGGAAGUAUCCUUCCACCAAAGUCCUCCUCAGGAACCUUAGCAAUCCGCCUAAACUCAGCAGCCGAUUCAGACAAUGUCUGGUGUAAACGCUUAGAGUCCAGGUAUUCACUGACAAUCAGUGUAUAGUUAUCAAACAGGUACCUAGAAGUAUAUGAGGUAGCUGCCCUUGAAAUGGCAAACGAACAGAUAGGGCACUCUGCUAAAUUCACGUCAUACUUCUUAAAUCUCAAAGAUUGAUCUCCAAACAACAAUCCAUUCUCAUUUACUUCAUCCAUAAAAUUCCUCUCUAUCAGCUUCCAGUCUAACCCAACGCUAUCCUUAUUAUCCGAAGAACCAUAUAUGUGUAUAAACUCAACAAUCAAAGAAUUCUCAAACGGGAUAGGGAUACGCAAAGAGGGCACGAGAAGAACCUGAUAAGCACUCCAAACCAGUGAGGCCAAAUCGGAAAGCAGAGCCUUUUGGGACUUGGGUCGGCCGUGCAAUGUAGCAAAUGGAUGAAACUCGCCACGAGGAAGUACACCAUCGCCGGACAACGCCGGGCCAUAAUCAACCGGACCGGCCCCCAAAUCAAUCCACAAAUAUCUCUCUUUUCCGGUCCACACAGUGCCCAAACACUUGGUAAAAGCAGGGGACGGAUCGCCAGGCGUAUAGCUAUAAGCGUAGGGUUUCGACUGGGAGCCCAAAUUGAGAAUAUAUAUGUAAAUCCCACUAAUGGGUUUCUCUUUUUCAAAAUCUUGUUUGACAAUUUCAUCAACUAUGGAGUGAGGAACAGAGGCAAGCACGGAUCUGAAAGAGGAAGGUACAGUGGCGAGAUGGGUCUUGAGGGUUUCAGAAAGACGUGAAGAGAGAGAAGAAGGAGAAAGAGUCACAUCAAGAUGAAGUGAAUGGGAUAUAGAGAGGUGAUGAGAUGGUUGAAAAGAGAAAGGGGUGAUGACGUGGAACUGAUCGGAAGAAAUUGCCGAUGUGAGAAAUGAAGAAAGCUGAGAUUUGGCAGAAGAAGAGAAGUUGCUACCAACAAGCUUGACGGUGAUGGGGACGGAAACUUGUAGGUUGAGGAGAGAAGAAGGGAUGGGUGGGUGAUGUAUGGAGGGUUGAGAGAGAUGCUUCUUGAGAGAAGAAGGAAGAGAGAGGAAUGAAUCGUUUGUAGCUGUCGGGUCAACCCGAGAUUGUUGGUUGAGGAAGGAGUCUAGUCCCAGGAUUGGGGCGGCGGUGGUGGCGGUGACGAAGAGUUGAAGGAGGAGGAGGAGGAGAACGCCGGUGACGCCGGUGAUCGGAGGCAUUUCGGAGUUUGGGAAUCCGGGGGGAUAGGGUUUGGGGGUUUGGGCAAAAUAUGAUGUUGGUUCAGUUGACGGAAUUGGAAGUGGAG
rnacentral:misc_RNA from 1 species